CUGAGCCUGCAAAGCAAGAACAAGCAAUACAUUUGGGCAGGCAGAGAAAGGGUUAAGUAUUCCACCUCUUUUAGACUUGCAUAGGGAAAAGUUUGCAGGUCCACCUGAUUAACUGAAAAAUGAGCUAUCAAUAGGCAACACCUGAGAACUUAGCAUAAAAGGUUCUCAUCAGUUUAAUCUUGUUUUUGGCAGCAACACUGGUGUUUGGAGCUGUGGACUUGGACUGUUGGUGAUCUUGGAAUUCGUGAACUUCAGAUUAUUACUUGGACUUUGGCAUUUGGAUUGACAUUGUACUUUGUUAUCUGUGGAAGUGGUUUUUGGAUCUCAAAAUGGACUAUUGACUCACCUUGUGUUAUUCCCUUCAAUUUGGGUCUCUUCAGGUGGAUUAUUUGGUUUGAACUUGGACUGCUUGCUGUUUUGAUUAACCUCCUGUCUGGAAGUUGAGUCUUGGCUUCGCAACAGCAGCCUUGGAGGCCAGAACCAGCACCAGGAUUUGACUUUGCUGAGUCAUGCUCCAGAUCAAGGUAAUCCCAAAAAUAAAUGAUGGCGAUUUCUUUCAUGAAAUCAGGCUGAAAUAUAAUUGAAAUGGAGCUAGAUAGUUUUAUCCAAUAGUGAUUGAAAGUUGGCCAAUGACCAUUUUUUCCUUUAGGGUAGAAAUACUCAGGCCCGCUACAGCAGAAGUCAAAUUAUGACUUCAUUUAAAGAAGUGGGACUACUGCCACUUAAAGGCGACAUUUGCAAUCUCCUGGACCUAGAUGAACUUUCCUUCCCUGAUCAAGUCAAAUCUUGAUGGACAAAGAUGGAGGUCUUGUCUAUAUGAACAAAAAAAUUCUGGACUCUUCCCAAAUUCAGUACUGGUUGUCAACUUCUACUGAAGAAUUCAAAUUCAAAAGCAGGUGCAGCUCAUUAAGAAGGAAUAUAGUCCAGCCUCUGAACACUACCCUGACGGAAAGUGUCAAUUGACAAUCUCUUUCCUCCCAUUCGACCUCAUGGAGUGAUGAUUUCCACACAUUCCUUUCACACAUCAGUGCUCAUCAUUACAGUGCCAGCAUGACAAACAUUGCCUAAAGGUUUUAGAGCAGUUUAUGUAAUUAUGUGAUUCAUAUGUACCCAGGAAUAUUUGGUAUUGUCUUGCUGAUUGGAGAAAAGCUGAUGAGUCCACCAAGUCAGCCUUGAAAAGACUUCGCACAAAUAAUUGUGUUGUUAUCUAUGUGUGGAGAACCAUAUAUUCUAUGCACCAAAUAAAGUGAUUUCUGAAGUGGAUAUCUAAUAUCUACUUCAGGUUCAAACUUUUCAUACACAUAACAGCAGGAGGAGGAGGGGUUGACAUAAAAUAUACCAGAUCAUUAUAUUGAGGUGAGUCUGCAUGGGACUCACCUCAAACCUGCUGAUCUACCGAUUGCUGUCCCUACAACUUCAUUGACCUCCAGUUAAUAUCAUACUUGGCCCUGCUUUUGGCAGUCUGAGAAUAUUGUUGACGGUUGCUAGAAAUUUUUGAAAAAUGUCUAGUUCACCUGCAUCGUGUUCAUCCACACCGGCAGAAACAAGAUGUUUUGCUGUUGCAUUACAAUGUUAGUCAGCAAACCCAUUAUUUCAUUACACGCAAUAAAAUCUGCUUUUUUACACAUUUAAGAAUUGGCAACCCACAGAGCCCAUCACAUGAUGCAAGUUUCAACUAUGGGUUCUAGGUAUUUUGCCGUUUCUAAAAUGUGGGUUUUUCCUACAAUUCCUAAGUCGAUUGGCAAUCAACUUCGUUUCUGAUUCCCCAUGUAGAGAUGUGUAAAAAUGCAACAUGUGAUGGUAAUCCCCCUUUGCCCAUUUGUAAAUAAAACAAUGUCAUCAUGGAUGGAGGCGUUGACAUGGGCAGUAUUGUUUCCUUUAUUCUGCCAUUACUGUUUUGGGACCAAGGAGAAAGGAACAAUAAUUCAUCUCUUUUCAAAUGGAAAAUAAAUAGAUUUUGCUUUUUAAUUGAGAGAUAUCUGUGCAUAUGGUAAAUGAAAUAUGCCUUAUACUUUCUGCAAACAAAACACGUAGGAUUUUUUUCUAUCCAGAGAAAACGGAGAAGGAGACAAUGUGAGGAGACAUAUGUCUUUCAUGUGAUGGCAAAUAAAAUGGAUAAAUCUUAAAGAAAGUGAAGAAAAUGAUAUUCCAUUUAAUUUCAAAACAGGGCAUGGCAAAGCUUAAGGGAAAACCAAUGAUCUCAAACAUUUUACUUAUUCCGCGGGAUGAAGUCCCCAGUGAGAGACUGUGGGUGGGCACAGUUACUACACCCACCUUAUUGCUCUGAUCCAGCCCCAUCAGACUACCUCCUAUUCAGCAAACUGAAAAACUUCCUGUGUGGAAUGAGAUUUGAAGAUAAUGACUUCUUAGUGACUCAGCUGAGCCGAUCCAGAGUUUUACCAUGCAGGAAUAUAGGCUCUAGUUGCAAGGUGGCGUAAGGCUGUUGAAGCGGAUGGGGAUUAUGUGGAAAAGUGACAUUCCAUUCUUAAAGCAUGU